ensembl:rRNA 5S_rRNA 5S ribosomal RNA
GCUUACGGCCACACCGGCCUGAGUACGCCUGAUCUCGUCCGAUCUCGUCCGAUCUCGGAAGCUAAGCAGGGUCGGGCCUGGUUAGUACUUGGAUGGGAGACCGCCUGGGAAUACCAGGUGCUGUAAGCU